GUUUUGCACAUUAUUUAUGGAAACCGUAUACAUGUACUUCCGUCCAAUUUUUCCUUCCUACAUUACUUGCGACAGUAAGCACUGCAUUUUUAGGUGAAAUAACUUAAAAGGUAAACAUUAUUAAAUCGAUUUCCACAACUUGAAGUAAUUUAUGAUAAAAUGAUAUCACAAAAAGAACAGAACCAGAAUCAACCAACAACAUAUAAAAAA
rnacentral:lncRNA from 1 species